CUCUUGCAGGGCUUAGUCCUCUUGCAGGACUCACUCCUCUCGAAGUACUCAUGCCUCUAGAUGAAAACGAUGUUCUACUUGGUGAAUCAGGGCGAGAUCCAGGAGCAGAGAAUGGAUGCAGCCUAGCUACAGCCGUUGCUAAGGUUGCUCUAUCCAUAGAACUUGCAGACAAAAGUCUCUGCGCCCCAGAAGUUCGAACUACGUUAUUAUCUUCCGACUUCGUUGGAGACAGUAAUCCACCUAGACUAGAUGCGGUACUAGAAGUUUUACGCAACGGUUUCGAACUGUUGGACAAAGGUAGUGACAUUCUCCUAAGAGACGGUCCCACUCGAGACCCUGAAGUUGAUGAACCCCUUGUAGUCUUGUCGCCAAGAUCCAAGCUUCUGUUCAAACCGAUCUUUCCACCAAUUCUACUAGGCCAUCGAUGCUGCUCUAUUAACCGACUGUGAGUUCCGUCUACAGGUUUCGAAUUCUCUGAAAGAUCAGACGCAUUCUUGUUCGCUUUCAAUGGACUUACCUUCCUCUCUGGCGUUGGUUUCCUUGAGACAGUCGUCGUUUCAGCCUUGUGCUUUUGAGCUAUGUUUGAAGAAGGUCUCAGCGUUCGAUCAACGGAAGAGCUUCUAACAGGUCUCUCCUUCUUACUAACAGGGACUGAGACAGAGUCCGACUGAAACGAAGCGCUGAGGCUUCUCAUAGUGGAAGGCCAUAAGCUUUCAGGCAAACGACCUCCUGUAGAUAGACGCCUAGAUGAAGCUGGCAGGUCUAUAGAGACAUCACGUAUAGGCGUGCUAACAUGGUCUCUUUCAAGUAUGGCCCAUUCUUCAAGACUAACCAUCUGUGCACAAGUUUAUGCAAUCGGCAUUGCGUAAUCUAAUGAAUGCAAAAUCAGUAUACAACAGAGAGAGAGAGAGAGAAUCUACUUGAUCGUUUAGUAGCGAGUUGAGUUUGAUCUCUAGCUUUAGCUGUUGCAGACCAAUCCUUUGGCUGGUCACAUCAUCCUGUAGCUCUGAUAUCGCUUGCCACACAUUAAAUAGAGUUUCCUGAAACAUCAAAAACUUGAGUUUUCAGAACCAUUCAUGUUGAUAUAUAGGGCAUAAGUUAAAUAUAUACCUCGGACGUUAAUCUUUGAAUGUACAUUACAGCUUCAGCUUGCGCAAUUGCGAACCGCCACUGUAAAUAUCUAUUGUGGAGAAGGCGUAGCUGAUGAACGUCUUCGAUGUAGCUUGCUUUCUUGCCUUUCUUGACAUCUGUGAUGAAGCUGAGAACAGACGUUGUGGUAGUGGAUUGUGCUUGUCUUACCCUGGAAGGACUAACCCCUCUUGAAGGUGGAGUUGAUGGUCUAGCAAAAGAGGAGGUACUUGUAACACGUGAAGGACUCAACCCUCUUGCAGGACUCAGUCCUCUUGCAGGGCUUAGUCCUCUUGCAGGACUCACUCCUCUCGAAGUACUCAUGCCUCUAGAUGAAAACGAUGUUCUACUUGGUGAAUCAGGGCGAGAUCCAGGAGCAGAGAAUGGAUGCAGCCUAGCUACAGCCGUUGCUAAGGUUGCUCUAUCCAUAGAACUUGCAGACAAAAGUCUCUGCGCCCCAGAAGUUCGAACUACGUUAUUAUCUUCCGACUUCGUUGGAGACAGUAAUCCACCUAGACUAGAUGCGGUACUAGAAGUUUUACGCAACGGUUUCGAACUGUUGGA
rnacentral:lncRNA from 1 species